rnacentral:rRNA from 1 species
GUACACUCCUACGGGAGGCAGCAGUGGGGAAUAUUGGACAAUGGGCGCAAGCCUGAUCCAGCCAUGCCGCGUGAGUGAUGAAGGCCCUAGGGUUGUAAAGCUCUUUCACCGGUGAAGAUAAUGACGGUAACCGGAGAAGAAGCCACGGCUAACUUCGUGCCAGCAGCCGCGGUAAUACGAAGGGGGCUAGCGUUGUUCGGAUUUACUGGGCGUAAAGCGCACGUAGGCGGACUAUUAAGUCAGGGGUGAAAUCCCGGGGCUCAACCCCGGAACUGCCUUUGAUACUGGUAGUCUUGAGUUCGAGAGAGGUGAGUGGAAUUCCGAGUGUAGAGGUGAAAUUCGUAGAUAUUCGGAGGAACACCAGUGGCGAAGGCGGCUCACUGGCUCGAUACUGACGCUGAGGUGCGAAAGCGUGGGGAGCAAACAGGAUUAGAUACCCUUGUAGUCCCAUGA